rnacentral:lncRNA from 1 species
AUUUACAGAUGGGAAGUCCAGCUCCAAGAGGUUAAAUGACCUACCCAGAGUUAGGCAUCUAAAGAAUGGCAGAACCAAGAUUUAGACCCUGGUGGUCAGAGCCCAACUUGUGAAGCCUUCGAAUUACACCACAUUGCCUUCCUUAGCAAAAGAGCCCUGGUUCUUAGAACCUGGAACAUGCCAUAAAUAGUUGGCCUUCUACAAAGAGAGACUUGUGAUUGGUCAGGAAAGAGAAAAAUAUCUUUGAGUAUUUACAUUCCAGAAUGGACUGUUCAUUCUCUGCUCUGAGACACGUUUACAAGGACACCUCUCUUCUGUGUUUUAGAGCAUCGUACCUUUAAAAGUCAGCAGCGGGCAAGCUCUCAGGAGAGACUAUGCGAAGAGCCUAGUGUUCUAGGGCUGCCAUGACAAAUUGCCACAAACUGCAGGGCUGAAAUCAACACAGUUCAGGAGGACAGAAGUCCAAAACCAAGGUGUUGGCAGAGUUGGUUCCUUCUGGAAGCUCUGAGGGAGAAUCUCGGGCUUCUCUGCUGCCUUGUGGUGGUCACCAGCAACCCUGGGUGUUCCUGGGUUUGUAGGGGCAUCACUCCAAUCUCUGUCUUUGUGGUCGCAUGGUAUUUUCCCUGUCUGUGUGUCUUUGUUUUCUCUUUUAUAAAGUUCCCAGUCAUUCAAUUUAGGGCCUCCCACCCUCAUCUAGGUAUGACCUCAUUUUAAGUAAUUAUGUCUGCAGAGACACUGCUUCCAUAUAACGUCACAUUCUGAGCUGCUUGGUGAGCUUCAAUGUUCAGGAGACACCAUUCAACCUAGUCCUCUCUAUUUUUCUGUUUUGUUCAAUAAAUAGGGAUGGCACUAUUAGAACAUUCUGAUUCUUCCUUAACCAGCCAUGUCCCAACUCAGGAAGUUGAUGCCCAUCUUACAAGGAGGGCCAGAAAAAGGGAGCAAGGCACAUGGAGGUAUCCUCAGAACUGAUGGAUGGCUGCUGGCAGACACCCAGAAACAGGGCCUAAGGACUGUCUAUAUCAGAGAAGAAUCGCUGAUGAAAGCCUGAGAAUAUUCAUUUUAUCAAGAAGGUCAGUUUAUGAAACCCCACUGAAAGUUCGAGAGCCACUAGACUCUAUGCAAACCACAGACCAUGAGAACAUUUGGAGGACUAAAGAAUGUUUCAGGUAACAGACCUGUUCAUGCAUAGAAGCGAGAAGAAGGAAUAAUGAUGACAGCAGAGAGAACACCAAACCCUAUAGGCAGUGUCUUGGUCCGUGUUUUGUUGCUUAUAAUAGAAUAUCUGAAACUGGGUAAUUUAUAAAGAAAAGGGAUUUAUUUUGUGCUGUUAUGGAGUUGAGAAGUCCAAGGUCCAGGGGGUGCAUCUAGUGAG